UGCCAGCAGCCGCGGUAAUACGGAGGGUGCGAGCGUUAAUCGGAAUUACUGGGCGUAAAGCGCGCGUAGGCGGCUACGUAAGUCGGAUGUGAAAGCCCUGGGCUCAACCUGGGAAUUGCAUCCGAAACUGCGUGACUAGAGUAUGUGAGAGGGAAGGGGAAUUCCGGGUGUAGCGGUGAAAUGCGUAGAGAUCCGGAGGAACACCAGUGGCGAAGGCGCCUUCCUGGCACAAUACUGACGCUGAGGCGCGAAAGCUAGGGGAGCGAACGGGAUUAGAUA
rnacentral:rRNA from 1 species